GCGCUCACUUCAGCAGCACAGACACUAAAACUGAGACGGCACAGAGAUUAGCAUGGCCCUGCACAAGGAUGACACACAAAUUUGUGAAGUGUUCCAUAUUUAA